rnacentral:sRNA from 1 species
AAGAAAUUUGCUGUUGUUGGAUGUUUAUGUUACUCACUUACUGGAUUCUGUUUGAGGCAUACACAUAGUGAUACCUGUGAGGGGGAAGAACUCUCUGAUCAAUCCAGUUAGCGUUAUCUAUCAAAACAGAAGAACAUUGCCACACAAUGAAUUCUCCCAGUGCUGAGUCUUCUCCCCCGGACAGACCACUCAUCGAUAUACCACAUAUCAUCACACAGAUAAACACCGAGUGUGGAGGAUUACGCAGUGUGUCCUGUCUGAGUGAUGAGGAGAUGUGGACGUGUGGUGAUGACAAAAUCCUGAGACUCUAUAACCUGCAGGGGGAACUAAUGAAGUCAAUCCAAACCAAGUCAGGGAAUGGUCCACAGGACAUAGCAGUGACAUGGAGUGGGGAUCUAGUUUAUACUGAUUACAGUGGAACUGUGAACAUUGUGAAGAAUACACAGAUACAGACAGUGAUCAGACUACAGGGGUGGAAACCUCGCAGUGUCUGUAGUACCUCCUCUGGUGACCUUCUGAUUGUUGUAAACAGUGAUUGUUAUAAACAAACAAAAAUUAUGUGUUACUCUGGCUCCACAGAGAAACAAAGUAUCCAGUACGAUGACAAAGGACAACCUCUCUAUUCAUCUGGUGGCACUAAAUACAUCAGUGAGAACAGGAACCUAGAUAUCUGUGUGUCAGACUAUGAGGCCAGUGCAAUAGUGGUGGUCAAUCAGGCCGGAAAACUCCGGUUUACCUACACUGGUCCUCCUUCUACUAGGUCCAUGCGGCAUCACAACAGACAGCCAGGGUCUGAUCCUGACUGUAGACUUUGACAACGACCGUAGCCACAUCCUGGAUCAGGACGGACAGUUCCUUCGCUACAUUGACAACUGUCAUUUUGACCAUCCAUGGGGUUUAUAUGUGGACACCAGAGACAACCUCUUUGUGGCUGAGGUAGGAACAGGCAUAGUGAAGAAAAUACAAUAUGUCUAGAACAUUACACAGUAGUGUAACAUUGUUUUUAUGUAUUACAUGUUGAUUAACUGACUGUGGGUAUAUAUAAAACAUGUAUUUGCAUAAAGAUAAUUAACUACCGUAUAUUGUAUAAUAGAUUCUUGCAUAUAAAAUAUAUGUUCAUGUCAACAAUAUCAUUGUUUUGUUUUUCAUGUUUAUACAUGUACAUCAUGGAAAGAAACUACUGGUAUUUGUUUUAGUGUGUUGAUUGUAUUGUCAACAAAUUGACUGUAUAUGCAUUUAAUGUCAAAACAAACUAUGUGCAUUAUAUGAAUACAAUCAGAAAAACAUUGUUUGGUAUAUGUCCAAAAAAUCAAAACAUUUUAUUGUUGAAAAAAUGACACUAAAGUUUGAAUUGAAAAAAAGACUUUUUUUUAGCUCUCUUAGGAGUUAAGAGUUAAUUUUGAAUCGUUUUCUUAAAGAUAAAAAUAUAAUUCUGCAUACAUUUUCUUUUCUCAAAGCUGAAAAACGAAGGUACAACAUUUCUUGAACAUUUGAAUGGUGUUCUUUGACUUUGUUCGAUUAUGAUUUCUUUCCACGAAGAAAGAGUAACUUUUGUUUCAUGCACACCAGUACCGGUAAUAAACCCUGCAGUUGUGCAUUGUAUACCUUAAAUAGUGUCUUAUUAUGUCUAAUAGAUAAUUUGUAAAC